GAACGAGAAAGUUCCUUCGGGAGCAAUUAAAGUGGCGCACGGGUGAGUAACGCGUAGACAAUCUGCCCUUCAGUCUGGGACAACUUUCCGAAAGGAGAGCUAAUACCGGAUAACAAUGCAUGACACAAGUUGUAUAUUUGAAAGCUUUAUGUGCUGAAGGAGGGGUCUGCGUCCCAUUAGCUAGUUGGUAGGGUAAAGGCUUACCAAGGCAACGAUGGGUAGCGGGUUUGAGAGGACGAUCCGCCACACUGGAACUGAGACACGGUCCAGACUCCUACGGGAGGCAGCAGUGGGGAAUAUUGCACAAUGGAGGAAACUCUGAUGCAGCAAUGUCGCGUGAGUGAAGAAGGCCCUUGGGUCGUAAAGCUCUUUUAUGGAGGAAGAUGAUGACGGUACCCCAAGAAUAAGCACCGGCUAACUAUGUGCCAGCAGCCGCGGUAAUACAUAGGGUGCGAGCGUUGUUCGGAAUUACUGGGCGUAAAGGGCGCGCAGGCGGAAUAGUAAGUCGGAGGUGAAAGCCCGGGGCUCAACCCCGGAGGGUCUUUCGAAACUACUAAUCUAGAGAGGGUCAGGGGCCGGCAGAAUUCCUGGUGUAGAGGUGAAAUUCGUAGAUAUCAGGAGGAAUACCGGUGGCGAAGGCGGCCGGCUGGGGCCACUCUGACGCUGAGGCGCGAAAGCGUGGGGAGCAAACAGGAUUAGAUACCCUGGUAGUCCACGCCGUAAACGAUGAGCACUGGACGUCCGGAGGGUUCGACCCUUCUGGGUGUCUCAGCUAACGCAUUAAGUGCUCCGCCUGGGGAGUACGGUCGCAAGACUAAAACUCAAAGGAAUUGACGGGGGCCCGCACAAGCGGUGGAACAUGUGGUUUAAUUCGAUGCAACGCGAAGAACCUUACCUGGUCUUGACAUCCUCGGACCGCUUCAGAGAUGAGUUUCUCUUCGGAGACGAGUGACAGGUGCUGCAUGCUGUCGUCAGCUCGUGUCGUGAGAUGUUGGGUUAGUCCCGCACGAGCGCACCCUUACCCUUAAUUGCAUCGGUUAUGCGGCACUUAGGGGACUGCGUGACAGCCGAGAGUGGAUGACGUCAAGUCCUCAUGGCUUUAUGACCAGGCUACCACCUGUGUACAAUGGGAGUUACUGAGGGGAGCUAAUCCGCGGGGGCAUGUCUAUUUCUGAAAACAUUUCUCUUUUUCGGAUGCGAUCUGAUGACCUGCGUGGAACUGAAUCCCUGUAAAAAUACCGA
rnacentral:rRNA from 1 species